AGAGUUUGAUCCUGGCUCAGGAUGAACGCUAGCUACAGGCUUAACACAUGCAAGUCGAGGGGCAGCAUGGAGUCAGCUUGCUGACUCUGAUGGCGACCGGCGCACGGGUGAGUAACGCGUAUCCAACCUUCCCUAUAGUAGGGGAUAGCCCGGCGAAAGUCGGAUUAAUACCCUAUGUUUUCCGAUGCAGGCAUCUAAAAGGGAACAAAGGCUUGCCGCUAUAGGAUGGGGAUGCGUCUGAUUAGCUUGAUGGCGGGGUAACGGCCCACCACGGCAUCGAUCAGUAGGGGUUCUGAGAGGAAGGUCCCCCACACUGGAACUGAGACACGGUCCAGACUCCUACGGGAGGCAGCAGUGAGGAAUAUUGGUCAAUGGGCGAGAGCCUGAACCAGCCAAGUAGCGUGAGGGAAGACGGCCCUACGGGUUGUAAACCUCUUUUGUUCGGGAAUAAAGGGGGGCACGCGUGCCCCUUUGCAUGUACCGUUCGAAUAAGCAUCGGCUAAUUCCGUGCCAGCAGCCGCGGUAAUACGGAAGAUGCGAGCGUUAUCCGGAUUUAUUGGGUUUAAAGGGAGCGUAGGCGGGAGGCUAAGUCAGCGGUUAAAGUGCGGGGCUCAACUCCGUGUUGCCGUUGAUACUGGUUUCCUUGAGUGCGCACAAGGUGGAUGGAAUUCGUGGUGUAGCGGUGAAAUGCUUAGAUAUCACGAAGAACUCCGAUUGCGAAGGCAGUCCACUGGGGCGCAACUGACGCUGAGGCUCGAAAGUGCGGGUAUCAAACGGGAUUAGAUACCCUGGUAGUCCGCACAGUAAACGAUGAAUGCUCGCGGUCGGCGACAGACUGUCGGCCGCCAAGCGAAAGCGUUAAGCAUUCCACCUGGGGAGUACGCCGGCAACGGUGAAACUCAAAGGAAUUGACGGGGGCCCGCACAAGCGGAGGAACAUGUGGUUUAAUUCGAUGAUACGCGAGGAACCUUACCCGGGCUUGAACUGCUGAGGACCGGCCAAGAGAUUGGCUUUCCCUUCGGGGUCUCAGUGGAGGUGCUGCAUGGUUGUCGUCAGCUCGUGCCGUGAGGUGUCGGCUUAAGUGCCAUAACGAGCGCAACCCUUGUCCGCAGUUGCCAUCAGGUUAUGCUGGGCACUCUGCGGAGACUGCCAUCGCAAGAUGUGAGGAAGGUGGGGAUGACGUCAAAUCAGCACGGCCCUUACGUCCGGGGCUACACACGUGUUACAAUGGGGGGUACAGAAGGCAGCUUGCCGGCGACGGUUGGCGAAUCCCCAAACCCCCUCUCAGUUCGGACUGGAGUCUGCAACCCGACUCCACGAAGCUGGAUUCGCUAGUAAUCGCGCAUCAGCCAUGGCGCGGUGAAUACGUUCCCGGGCCUUGCACACACCGCCCGUCAAG
rnacentral:rRNA from 1 species